AAAUUGAAGAGUUUGAUCAUGGCUCAGAUUGAACGCUGGCGGCAGGCCUAACACAUGCAAGUCGAACGGUAGCACAAAGGAGCUUGCUCCUUGGGUGACGAGUGGCGGACGGGUGAGUAAUGUCUGGGAAACUGCCCGAUGGAGGGGGAUAACUACUGGAAACGGUAGCUAAUACCGCAUAACGUCGCAAGACCAAAGAGGGGGACCUUCGGGCCUCUUGCCAUCGGAUGUGCCCAGAUGGGAUUAGCUAGUAGGUGAGGUAACGGCUCACCUAGGCGACGAUCCCUAGCUGGUCUGAGAGGAUGACCAGCCACACUGGAACUGAGACACGGUCCAGACUCCUACGGGAGGCAGCAGUGGGGAAUAUUGCACAAUGGGCGCAAGCCUGAUGCAGCCAUGCCGCGUGUAUGAAGAAGGCCUUCGGGUUGUAAAGUACUUUCAGCGAGGAGGAAGGCAUUAAGGUUAAUAACCUUAG
rnacentral:rRNA from 1 species